rnacentral:rRNA from 1 species
GACGAACGCUGGCGGCGUGCUUAACACAUGCAAGUCGAACGGACAGGCCCUGCUUUUGUUGCGUUCUCGUUUGGCGAACGGGUGAGUAACACGUGUGUAACCUGCCCUUGACAUUCGGAUAACUCCAGGAAACUGGGGCUCAUACCGCAUAGGAGCUCCUGCUGCAUGGUGGUGGUUGGUAAGAUUCGGCGGUUGGGGAUGGACUCGCUGCUUAUCCGCUUGUUUGUGUGGUAGUGGCUUACCAAGGCUGUGACGGGUAGGCGGCCUGAGAGGGGUAACGGCGACAUGGCGACUAAGAUACGGCGCAGUAUCCUACGGGAGGCAGCAGGGGAGAAUAUGGCAGAACGGGGGGGAGUCUGAGACAGCGACGUCCGGAGCGUGAUGCCGGCCUUCGGGUUGUAAACCGCUGUGGAAGGUGACGAAGCGUUAGUAACGGUAAUGGGUAAAAAAGCACCGGCUAACUACGUG